rnacentral:siRNA from 1 species
AACGUGUAUUGCAAAAUUGUGUGA